AUCUCUAUUGAAGCAAGAAGACCCCCUGAAUUUAAGCAUAUAAUUAAGGGGAGGAAAAGAAACCAACUCGGAUUCCCCUAGUAACGGCGAGUGAAGCGGGAAGAGCUCAUGUUGUAAAUCUCCAGCUUGCUGGCGAAUUGUAGUCUAAAGGUGCGUGCUCAGUCGUGGUCCCGGGCUAAGUCUGUUGGAAAACAGCAUCAUGGACGGUGACAAUCCGGUUCUUGCCUGGGGUCCCGCGGCGUACGAGCCGUUUCCGACGAGUCGUGUUGCUUGGGAUUGCAGCACUAAGUGGGUGGUAAAUUCCAUCUAAAGCUAAAUAUUGGUGGGAGACCGAUAGCGAACAAGUACCGUGAGGGAAAGAUGAAAAGACUUUUGAAAAGAGAGUAAAAUAGUACCUGAAACUGCUGAAAGGGAAGCGAUUGAAGUCAGUGUUGCUCCUGGUCUUUUUGCCGUCGCCCCUGUGGGGGUUGCGGCGUGGGGCCUGGAGCGUUUCAACAUGCGUUCUGUUCCGCGGGAAAUGUUCAGUGUGCUGGAACCUUCGGGGAAACGCACUGUUCUUGUCGUGGUUAGGACGGAGGACCUUUGCUCCUUUGACUGCGCGUUCCUCUCUCGGGUAUGCUGGUGUCUACUGCUUGCAGUUUUCAUUUUCAUGCUUGCGACUGUGCGUGUUAUUCAUGAGCGAACAUGAUGUUGAAGAAAUGGCUUUAAUUACCCCGUCUGGAAACACGGACCAAGGAGUCUAACAUACGUGCGAGUACUAUGGUGGCAAACCAUUGUGCGCAAUGAAAGUGAAGGCUGGCUUCCGUCAGCUGAGGUGGGAUCCGCAAGGAGCACCAUCGACCGACCAUGUCCCUUCGGGGUAAAGGUUUGAGUGUGAGCAUUUAUGUUGGGACCCGAAAGAUGGUGAACUAUGCCUGAAUAGGGCGAAGCCAGAGGAAACUCUGGUGGAGGCUCGCAGCGGUUCUGACGUGCAAAUCGAUCGUCAAAUUUGGGUAUAGGGGCGAAAGACUAAUCGAACCAUCUAGUAGCUGGUUCCCUCCGAAAUUUCCCUUAGGAUAGCUGCAACCGGUUAAGAGUUUUAUCAGGUAAAGCGAAUGAUUAGAGGAUUCGGGGACGGAAUGUCCUCGACCUAUUCUCAAACUUUAAAUGGGUAAGAACCCGGGGUUGCUUAAUUGAACCCUGCGGUCGAAUCUCGGUUGCUAGUGGGCCAGUCCGGGUAAGCUGGACUGGCGAUGCGGGAUGAUCCGAACGCUGAGUUAAAGUGCCUAACUGCUCGCUCACCUAGAUCCCACAAAAGGUGUUGGUUCAUCCAGACAGCAGGACGGUGGCCAUGGAAGUCGGAACCCGCUAAGGAGUGUGUAACAACUCACCUGCCGAAUGAACUAGCCCUGAAAAUGGAUGGCGCUAAAGCGUGCGACUUAUACUCAGCCAUCAGCGCGAGACGUAUGUGCUGAUGAGUAGGAGGGCGUGAUGCUGUCACGAAGCGGUGG
rnacentral:rRNA from 1 species